AUUUCAGAUUCUCCAGCAUCUGCAGUUCCUACUAUCUCUAUGCAUCCAGAAAGGUUGCUUUGUAUGGUGCAUCUAAAGAAAUUGUAUUGCCGGAAGUUUGGUGUACUCUUACAUUACGUUCACAGAGGAGCAGUCAGUCAAGACACCAGGAAAUGGCGGCAGUGUGGACAUCAAGGGAAAAGUAGCUGUAUGAACAGAAAAGAUUGCCGGAGAUAUUUAGUUUUUGUGUUCUAUUGAUUUGUCUUUUUAUAUUAAAAAAAAUGGUGUUAUAAAUCUGUGAUCGUCUAUCAAAGAAAUUGUACGUGAUCUUGCAGUUUUGGUACAUUGAUAUUCACAGGAUCAAAAAAAUUAUUAAAGCAUUAAAAGCCCCUCUUUUACUAAAGCAUUAGAGUAUUUGAAGGCAUUGCCACUAGUUGCUCUUCACCUCCAAUCUAAAACUUAAAAACAGUCCCAACUCACAAUUUAAAACAUUGAUUAAAAAAUUAUGUGGUGUGCCUCUAAAAAGUGUACCAUGUGCAAAUCCAAGACUUGGUUACUGUACUUUCUGGUAACCACCUUCAUGAGCUUCUCUGCUCACCAGUUCUUAGCAUCUUUUUGAUUCCUCCAGCCACAAACAUAAAUUGUAAACCAGGGAUUUCAUGUGGAGCAGUGAAUACUGAAUUUUAGUCUGCUUUUGGUCCUCUAGCGUUAGGUAAAUUACGUGUUAAUUAGUUUUUUUUACAGAAAACUACGCAAAGUGUGCUCCUUUGAAUAGGAACACAUUCAAUGGUUCUACAUUUUCCAGUUUCUCAUUGCAAAAAUGAGUCUAGGGAGUAAGAAUAUUGAAGCAAAUCUGCCAUUUCAGUAUAAUGUUUACAUGCAUGCAAAGGAAUACAUUAAAUGAUUUUUACUUUGUGAAGAAUUACCAGUACCAAUAUCCCAUUAAUCAUGAAGUUAUUGAUGUAUUUUUACGUGGGCUGUUAAAUGACAAUUCAUAAUUGAAAAUUAUACUGAACUGAGGGAAGUAGAUGCAAAACUUGAGAUUUUGUAAUUGAGUUGAAUGUUAAAAGCUUAUCAUUGUAUAAAUAUGAAUCAUUUCAAGUUUUCCAACUGUUAAUGGUUCAUGUGUUGUUGGUUCUGUGGAGCCAUUUAAAAUAGUUGUGUUAAACAGGUUUCAAGAAUUUGGUGACUUUUUUUAAAACUUGAAGAUUACAAACCUGGUUCAGAGUAAAAAUGAUAGGGCAGGUGAGAAUCAUUCAACAUCUAUCUAUCUUUCAGUUCUCUACUUUUGUAGAUCUAUUUAAUAUAUUAACUUAAUAAACACUUUGGUCUAAAUCCAGAUGUACCAGAAUGUAUGGUAGUUGUUCUGCCAUCCAGCAACUCGUCAGAUCUGUAUGUGUUGUGCUGGUGAUGAGCUAAUUUCUUUCUUUGUAUAUAGUGUAUGUGAAGUGUAAAAUUGAGGGCUGCAAUGAAUUAUAAUAUACUUAAGUGCACAUGUGCACUGCUUUAAUGAUUUUCCCAAAAUAUUAGUUUUCUGAAAUGUGUUCUGGCAGAAUAGGUCACCCCGUGAUAUUUGUUAAUUGUAAUUUUGUGAAUGCAGUUGUGAGUGAAAUUGAUGAACAUACAUAUUUACAGGUUAAGUAGGUCCUAUGGACUUAAGAAUCUGCACUGCCCAGACAUUAUGACGACUCCAGUGACAAUGUGGCAACAUUUGCUUUUGUGCAGCACUAAAUGUGCAUAUGAAUUAGUACAAGAAAACUCCUUGUAGAGCUUUCUUGGAGUCUGCCAAGAUGUUACUUAUUUAGUGGCUGGUUUCAGAAAUGCUGCUUUUAGUACUUAAAAUCAGAUGCUGGUCUUGGUGAUCUGUAAACAAGUUGCAUAGUUCAAUGUUGUAAACACUGAAGUGCCUAGAUAUUGGUUAGAGCUGACUUACGAACACUUUUAAUAUGUGCAUUUAACCCAUCCGAACUUAGAUGCAUUUUUAGUUCUGAUUUGUAAUUAUUUUAUAAUUUAGUAACAAAGUGGGUUAGAAAUAGGUUUGCUAUUGCGUGUUCUAAUGAUUCUACUUUUUUUGUCAUUUUAAAUUUGCUUGACAGGUAUAUUUUGUAGUACAGUUUUAAUGGCUAUGAUUUGGGUAACAGUUGAAGCCUUUUGAGAACUUCAGCAUUUUACAUUCUGUAGCUAUUAUCAUAUGAAUACAGAUGGACAAAAAAAAUCCACUCCCAUAAUUUAAACUUCAUUAGUGAUAUUUUUUCAUUAAAAUUCACAAAAUAACCAAGAUUAAUUUUGAAAUGUAGCAAUACUUAUUUCAAAUUUUGUGGGAUGAGAAUUAAUUUUAUUUUCUCAAAUGUGGAGAUGUGGGCAAAACUGGUGCCCUUGGAGAAAAGCGAUGUGUAUCUUUUAGAUGACAGUGCAUAAUUAUGUAGAAGUUAAUUUUAAAUUCAACUGCACCAGUAGUUGACUAGAAUCACUUUGGUCUUUUUACAAGACUUUUAUCCAACCCAGAGAUAGUAAGAACUGCCGCUGCUGAAGUCUGAGAUAAGUGUGGAGGUGGAGGAACACAGCAGGCCAGGCAGCAUCAGAGGAACAGGAAAGUUGAAAAGGGAAGGGAGCUGGGAAAUAAAUAGAGGAGGGGUGGGCCUGAGGAAGGUGAUAGGUGAGUGCAGGUAGAGUGUGGUGGGGCAGAUAGGUGGGAGAAAAGAUGGACAGGCUGUGGCAGGGAUGAGGCUGAGGGUAGAGAGUUUAAAACUGGUGAAUUCCAUAUUUAGGCCAUUGGGCCUGUAGGUUCCUAAGGCGGAAUGUGAGGUGUUGCUCCUGCAGUUUGCAGGUGGGCUCACUGUGACACUGGCCCUCCUCCAUAUACCUGCCCCAUCCAACCCAGUGGUGUUCAUGAAUUUCAAUAAAAUUGAAACUUUGUUUCGUUCUGUGACUAAAGGUUCUGGUUCAUCAGCAUAAAAAAAAAUUAGUUGUUAUUUGUACUAUUUUAGCUGUUGGGACUAUAAUUAGAUCAUUGCCUGCGAAAGAUGAGUCUGCCUAAGAACAAGUACCAUUGGUUUGUUGUCAGCAGCCAAAUCUCUAAUAGAGAGACGUAAAGCUCUGAAGAAAGAAUGAUUUUUUUUUAAAGCCAAAUUCAUUUUGCUAUAAUUUAAACCUUUUUAAAUUUCUGAUGUAAACACAAGGUCACAGAAUCUUUGCCAUCUUUAAGUUUUAAAAGUUCCCAACUUGGCAUUGGUGAGAAUGAACUAAUCUAGGACAUGAGGGGUUUAGGAUAAAUAAUUAAGCUUGAUGCAUUUGACAGAUUUAACAUUUUGUUGUAAACUUCCUAGGAUUAGAAAUGGAGGGAAUAACUUCAGUUUAUUUUUUGUGAUGCAAAUUUUAAUAUUUGCAACAAGUACUGCUGAUUAAGUGCUGCCAACAAAUGCAAUAAAGCUUUUUUAAUAUUCAGACAGGCUGAAAGUUUUAAAAUUAUUCACAUAGUUCAAAUGCCCUCUUUGCAAGCUAUAAAACUGAUUUAAUAUAGCAUACCAUAAUGAUUUACCAUCAGUAUUAAAGAUGUACUGCAAAUAUUUUUAAUUAAAUUGCAUGCUCUUGAUAUAUUUCAGUAUCAGAAUCCAUUCUUUAGCACCCAAGACUUUUAUGGUCACUUCUUAAGGUUUAAGCCUAGUAAUCAUGAAUUUAUUGGAGUGUUAUAAGCAUUGUUGCUGUUUACAGGAUUUUAGUAAUUUGUGGAUCUGUCAAUAAAUCAAAUAUCCCAUUAGUUUACACUAGAUAUACAUGUUUUUCUUUUUACAAAGCAGUGUACUAACUACCGCAUUAUUUAACUGCCACUUUAUUGAAAGUGAUCAAUGCACAGGUUAAGUGCUAGUAUAAGGAUGUGGUAGAAAUGGUGAUUUAUAAUGGAUUAUUUUGUAAUGCAGAGAAACUACAAAAUGUUUCAGAAUGAUGUAUUCUUCUAAUGCUAAAUUUUUAUCCAAAAAUAUUAAAAUGAACCUGAAAGGCAA